rnacentral:rRNA from 1 species
GAUGAACGCUGGCGGUAUGCUUAACACAUGCAAGUCGAACGGACUCCUCGGAGUUAGUGGCGGACGGGUGAGUAACGCGUGAGAAUCUGGCUUUGGGUUCGGGACAACCACUGGAAACGGUGGCUAAUACCGGAUGUGCCGAGAGGUAAAAGAGAAAUUGCCUGAAGAUGAGCUCGCGUCUGAUUAGCUAGUUGGUGAGGUAAAGGCUCACCAAGGCAGCGAUCAGUAGCUGGUCUGAGAGGAUGACCAGCCACACUGGGACUGAGACACGGCCCAGACUCCUACGGGAGGCAGCAGUGGGGAAUUUUCCGCAAUGGGCGAAAGCCUGACGGAGCAAUACCGCGUGAGGGAAGAAGGCUCUUGGGGUGUAAACCUCUUUUCUUAGGGAAGAACAAAAUGACGGUACCUAGGGAAUCAGCAUCGGCUAACUCCGUG